rnacentral:lncRNA from 1 species
UAAGGAGACUGAUUCAUAAGCUUAUGCCCUGAAUUUCAAACAGAUAUUUUCAUCUAUAAUUCUCUCCUGUAAAAUGCUUUCAAUAAUUUAAAGGCUGGAAUGUUUGUUUUUAUGUUACUGGUAAGAAUUAGCUUCCUGCUUCUCUUUUAGGAGAAAACUUAAGGAAGAAUCCUAGCAUUUGAGUGCUCUCCAAGAACAAGUACAUAAACUACCUCUGUCUCAGCGAACACUGCAUAAUGGUGUUCGGAAAUAAAGCAGACUCCCCUGAAGUUCUGCAUUUCCAGUUACACUGCCUCUUAGAUAACACCCCCCAAACUCCUCUGCCUGUUACAGCACUCACUCGAGGGCUGUGCCUGCGCCAGGAGUGACAGUCUCUGCUGUGCAGAUUUCUUACAGUGCAGCAUGUUUCCCUUUCCCGAUUCCCAUCACCUCAAUACCAGGGGCAUCCUCCAGGCACUGUAACAGCUCAACAUGCGUCCAGCCAUUUCCAUACCCCCAGUUAAGAACCUGUGAUAAACCGUAAGCCUCUGAGGUUUCUUGUUGUUUUUCUGUAACAUUCUCCUCCCAGUCUGGCUUAAUUCUCUGUUUGCUUAUAAUCUGCUGAAUAGAUUAUCCUCGGAUUAGCCUCCUGAAGCACAUCUCUAAUCAAGAUGCCCACAAGGCUCUCUGGUGCCUAAGAGACACUGAGUUAAAACAGGCCCUUGUUAUCUUCAACGUCAUUUAAUUCAACAUUCUAUUUUUAGUCCUACAGUAUUUUAGUAAAAGAAUCAAUUUCUGGUAAUGGAAAAAUAUUGUAUUUUGAUUUGAAAAAAAAAAACAAAACAUACUUAUAUAAUAGCAAUGUGUUCUGGCCUCAAAGCCAUCCUGUACCGAGACCUCUAAAGCAGGCAUGCUGAUGAAGCUUUCCUUUUCCUGCCCUCAUAUUUGCCAAGUCACAUUUCUGUAAAUACAGUUUGGUAUCCAUUACCUUCUAUUAUGAGAUCGUCUCACAUAAAACUGUGCCAUAAGUAUCAUCGACCGAACACACUAUGUGUGUACCCCCCAUUCCCUGGGUACACACAGCUCUGCACUUGCACAUGUGCACACAUAAAUGACAAAAUAAUUCUAUGUCUGCAUCUAAUUCUCAGCACUGUUUCAGACGCCAAACACUUAUCUUUAAACCACAUAAGUUAUAGAUAUACAUGUUCUAUACAUACACACAUACAUAUUCCAUCCAACUUUAUGUUUCAUAAACUCUUCACAUAAAAAUUCAUUUAGUAAAUGGAAUGAAAUUAGUGCGACUGACAGAAAACAACGUGUUGAAGUCAGGAACUAUACCAUGAGGACUUUAUUGCCUUUCUAAAUAUUUUGGAAACAGUACAACUCGCCCAUGCAUCAUGUUUUCUUGGUGCAUGCGUAAUCAUUUCUCCUCCAACUUCCAAUUAAAAAUUCAUGGGGAUGAGCAUCAAGCAGAGCACAAUGGACCUGAGUCAGUGUGAUGUGGUGGCAAAACACUGAGGUCUUGAAAUUCAAAGCUGUGGUCUCCUGCCCCCUCUACUCAUGCUCCUCCUUGUGUGACUGAGUAAUAAUGAUG